GAGUUUGAUCCUGGCUCAGAACGAACGCUGGCGGCGUGCCUAACACAUGCAAGUCGAACGGAUUUGAGGAGCUUGCUUCUCAAGUUAGUGGCGCACGGGUGAGUAACGCGUAGAUAAUCUGCCUGAUGAUCUGGGAUAACACUUCGAAAGGGGUGCUAAUACCGGAUAAGCCCACGGAGUCUUUGGACUUUGCGGGAAAAGGGGGGGACCUUCGGRCCUUCUGUCAUCAGAUGAGUCUGCGUACCAUUAGCUAGUUGGUAGGGUAAARGCCUACCAAGGYUACGAUGGUUAGCUGGUCUGAGAGGAUGAUCAGCCACACUGGAACUGAGACACGGUCCAGACUCCUACGGGAGKCAGCAGUGGGGAAUUUUGCGCAAUGGGCGAAAGCCKGACGCASCAACRCCGCSUGAGUGAUGAAGGCUUUCGGGUMGUAAAKCUCUGUCGAGGGGAAAGAAGUGUAUUAGGGCUAAUAUCCCUGAUACUUGACGGUACCCCUAAAGGAAGCACCGGCUAACUCCGUGCCAGCAGCCGCGGUAAUAC
rnacentral:rRNA from 1 species